GAUGAACGCUGGCGGCGUGCUUAACACAUGCAAGUCGAACGUGAGAAUAGCAAUAUUUGAAAGUGGCAAACGGGUGAGUAACACGUGGGAACCUGCCUCGAAGUGGGGGAUAACGAUUGGAAACGGUCGCUAAUACCGCACGGUUCUGCUCUGAUGGGAAUGGAGCAGAUAAAGAUUUAUCGCUUUGAGAGGGGCCCGCGGCCGAUUAGCUAGUUGGUAAGGUAAAGGCUUACCAAGGCGAUUAUCGGUAGCUGGUCUGAGAGGAUGAUCCGCCACACUGGGACUGAGACACGGCCCAGACUCCUACGGGAGGCAGCAGUGGGGAAUUUUGGACAAUGGGCGCAAGCCUGAUCCAGCCAUGCCGCGUGAGUGAAGAAGG
rnacentral:rRNA from 1 species